rnacentral:rRNA from 1 species
GUGCCAGCCGCCGCGGUAAUACGUAGGGUGCGAGCGUUGUCCGGAAUUACUGGGCGUAAAGAGCUCGUAGGUGGUUUGUCGCGUUGUUCGUGAAAACUCACAGCUUAACUGUGGGCGUGCGGGCGAUACGGGCAGACUAGAGUACUGCAGGGGAGACUGGAAUUCCUGGUGUAGCGGUGGAAUGCGCAGAUAUCAGGAGGAACACCGGUGGCGAAGGCGGGUCUCUGGGCAGUAACUGACGCUGAGGAGCGAAAGCGUGGGGAGCGAACAGGAUUAGAUACCCUGGUAGUCCACGCCGUAAACGGUGGGUACUAGGUGUGGGUUCCUUCCUUGGGAUCCGUGCCGUAGCUAACGCAUUAAGUACCCCGCCUGGGGAGUACGGCCGCAAGGCUAAAACUCAAAGGAAUUGACGGGGGCCCGCACAAGCGGCGGAGCAUGUGGAUUAAUUCGAUGCAACGCGAAGAACCUUACCUGGGUUUGACAUG